AUUUGAUGGUGUGGGCAACUGGCACACAGUUGUUUGAACUGCUCCCAGUAUUCAUAGAGGGUUUCUCCAUUUGCCUGCCUUAUUCCACAUAUCUCCUUUCUGAUAUU